AUACUCGCCUGGCGUAAGGAUAGCGUGAUCAUGCAGGCGGUUACCCCAGGGUGAGGCUGCUCCAUUGAACUGCGGAGUGGUUGACCCUUGCGAUUAUUUUUAUUUUUUAUAAGUUUCACUUCUACCUUGUAUGACUUGCUCACACACACAUUUUUUUUGCUUAC